AGAGUUUGAUCCUGGCUCAGAACGAACGCUGGCGGCAGGCUUAACACAUGCAAGUUGAACGGGAUUUGUAUGGUGCUUGCACCAUGUAAUGAGAGUAGCGCACUGGUGAGUAACACGUGGGAACAUACCUUGAAGUGGGGGACAACAGUUGGAAACGACUGCUAAUACCGCAUAAUCCCUGAGGGGGAAAGAUUUAUCGCUUUAAGAUUGGCCCGCGGAAGAUUAGGUAGUUGGUGGGGUAAAGGCCUACCAAGCCGACGAUCUAUAGCUGGUCUGAGAGGACGAACAGCCACAUUGGAACUGAGACACGGUCCAGACUCCUACGGGAGGCAGCAGUGAGGAAUAUUGGGCAAUGGAGGAAACUCUGACCCAGCCAUGCCGCGUGAGUGAAGAAGGUUUUCGAAUUGUAAAGCUCUUUCGGAUGGGACGAUGAUGACGGUACCAUCUAAAGAAGCCCCGGCAAACUUCGUGCCAGCAGCCGCGGUAAUACGAAGGGGGCAAGCGUUGUUCGGAAUUACUGGGCGUAAAGGGUGUGUAGGCGGAUUUGUAAGAUAGUGGUGAAAUACCUGAGCUCAACUUAGGAAUUGCCAUUAUAACUAUAGAUCUGGAGUGACAGAGAGGAUAUUGGAAUACCCAGUGUAGAGGUGAAAUUCGUAGAUAUUGGGUAGAACACCAGUGGCGAAGGCGAGUAUCUGGCUGUCAACUGACGCUGAGGCACGAAAGCAUGGGGAUCAAACAGGAUUAGAUACCCUGGUAGUCCAUGCUGUAAACGAUGAAUGCUAGUUGUCGGCAAAAGCCGGUGACGCAGUUAACGCGAUAAGCAUUCCGCCUGGGGAGUACGGUCGCAAGAUUAAAACUCAAAGGAAUUGACGGGGACCCGCACAAGCGGUGGAGCAUGUGGUUUAAUUCGAAGCAACGCGAAGAACCUUACCAGGUCUUGACAUCCCGAUGACCGGUUCUUAAUCGAAGCUUUUCUUCGGAACAUCGGAGACAGGUGGUGCAUGGUUGUCGUCAGCUCGUGUCGUGAGAUGUUGGGUUAAGUCCCGCAACGAGCGCAACC
rnacentral:rRNA from 1 species